rnacentral:rRNA from 1 species
CCUACGGGAGGCAGCAGUAGGGAAUCUUCCGCAGUGGACGAAAGUCUGACGGAGCAACGCCGCGUGAGUGAAGAAGGUUUUCGGAUCGUAAAACUCUGUUGUUAGGGAAGAACAAGUACGAGAGUAACUGCUCGUACCUUGACGGUACCUAACCAGAAAGCCACGGCUAACUACGUGCCAGCAGCCGCGGUAAUACGUAGGUGGCAAGCGUUGUCCGGAAUUAUUGGGCGUAAAGCGCGCGCAGGCGGUCUUUUAAGUCUGAUGUGAAAGCCCCCGGCUCAACCGGGGAGGGUCAUUGGAAACUGGAGGACUUGAGUGCAGAAGAGGAGAGCGGAAUUCCACGUGUAGCGGUGAAAUGCGUAGAGAUGUGGAGGAACACCAGUGGCGAAGGCGGCUCUCUGGUCUGUAACUGACGCUGAGGCGCGAAAGCGUGGGGAGCGAACAGGAUUAGAUACCCUGGUAGUCCACGCCGUAAACGAUGAGUGCUAAGUGUUAGAGGGUUUCCGCCCUUUAGUGCUGCAGCUACGCAUUAAGACACCUCCGCCGUCGGGGUAGGGUACGGGUUCCGGCGAAGACGUAGAAACCGUACCGAAAGGAAAGUUAGGUACGGGCGUGAGACGUCGACCCGAACGGACGACCGACCGACGGGGAGGGUUAGGG